rnacentral:rRNA from 1 species
AGUGAACGCUGGCGGUAGGCCUAACACAUGCAAGUCGAACGGCAGCACAGUAAGAGCUUGCUCUUACGGGUGGCGAGUGGCGGACGGGUGAGGAAUACAUCGGAAUCUACUUUUUCGUGGGGGAUAACGUAGUGAAACUUACGCUAAUACCGCAUACGACCUACGGGUGAAAGCAGGGGAUCUUCGGACCUUGCGCGAUUGAAUGAGCCGAUGUCGGAUUAGCUAGUUGUCGGGGUAAAGGCCCACCAAGGCGACGAUCCGUAGCUGGUCUGAGAGGAUGAUCAGACACACUGGAACUGAGACACGGUCCAGACUCCUACGGGAGGCAGCAGUGGGGAAUAUUGGACAAUGGGCGCAAGCCUGAUACAGCCAUACCGCGUGGGUGAAGAAGGCCUUCGGGUUGUAAAGCCCUUUUGUUGGGAAAGAAAAGCAGCAGGUUAAUACCCCGAUGUUCUGACGGUACCCAAAGAAUAAGCACCGGCUAACUUCGUG